GGGCGGGCCCCCGCCUGCGUUCGCGGCGCCAGCAGAAGACUGAUUUUUGAAAAUAUGUAUUUGGGAGACAGUCACGUCCUAUUGAAUACCUUGUGCUGGUGCUGCCAUCGAAAAAUCUGGUUACACUCCGGGGAGGACUGCUACCACUGCAGAACUGAACCACUUCGGCCAUGAGAUGAGUGUCCGGCCUGAGCAGGCACACCAUGAAUAGAUACACAACAAUCAGGCAGCUCGGGGAUGGAACCUACGGUUCCGUCCUGCUGGGAAGAAGCAUUGAGUCUGGGGAGCUGAUUGCUAUUAAAAAUCUUUAAAGAAGCUCAACCAUGCCAAUGUAGUCAAAUUAAAAGAAGUUAUCAGGGAAAAUGAUCAUCUUUAUUUUAUCUUCGAGUACAUGAAGGAAAAUCUUUACCAGCUCAUUAAAGAGAGAAAUAAGUUGUUUCCUGAGUCUGCUAUAAGGAAUAUCAUGUAUCAGAUAUUACAAGGACUCGCAUUUAUUCACAAACACGGCUUCUUUCAUCGAGACUUAAAGCCUGAGAACCUCCUCUGCAUGGGACCAGAACUUGUGAAAAUUGCAGACUUUGGUUUGGCCCGAG
rnacentral:lncRNA from 1 species